CAGAGGAGCCAAGCGUUGUCCGGAUUGACUGGGCGUAAAGCGCACGCAGGCGGGUGCGCGCGUGGGGUGUGAAAUCUGGCCGCUUAACGGCCAGGCGCCAUCCCAUACGGCGCGCCUGGAGCCUUGCAGAGGGCGGUGGAAUUGCCGGUGUAGUGGUGAAAUGCGUAGAGAUCGGCAGGAACACCCAGGGGGAAACCAGCCGCUUGGGCAAGCGCUGACGCUGAGGUGCGAGAGCGUGGGGAGCGAACCGGAUUAGAUACCCGGGUAGUCCACGCCGUAAACGAUGGCCACUCGGCCUUUGGUGGCGGAACCUCCGUCGCUGGGGGCCUUAGCAAACGCGGGAAGUGGCCCGCCUGGGAACUACGAGCGCAAGCUUA
rnacentral:rRNA from 1 species